rnacentral:rRNA from 1 species
CAUCCUGGGGCUGUAGUCGGUCCCAAGGGUUGGGCUGUGCGCGCAUUAAAGCGGUACGCGAGCUGGGUUCAGGACGUCGUGGGACAGUUCGGUCCCGAUCCGUCGUGGGCGUAGGAAAUUUGAGAGGCGCUGUCCUUAGUACGAGAGGACCGGGAUGGACAUACCUCUGGUGUACCAGUUGUCGUGCCAACGGCAUAGCUGGGUAGCUA